UACGAGGGGGGCGAGCGUUGUUCGGAAUUAUUGGGCGUAAAGGGUGCGUAGGCGGUUUGGUAAGUCUUGUGUGAAAUCUACAGGCUCAACUUGUAGUCUGCACGAGAAACUGCCGGGCUUGAGUAUGGGAGAGGUGAGUGGAAUUCCUGGUGUAGCGGUGAAAUGCGUAGAUAUCAGGAGGAACACCUGUGGCGAAAGCGGCUCACUGGACCAUAGCUGACGCUGAUGCACGAAAGCUAGGGGAGCAAACAGG
rnacentral:rRNA from 1 species